AUAAUAUUAAAAUGAACAAAGUUCAAAUUCUUCAAAAUGCUGUUGUUGACAUUUGCUAUUUUUAGUAAUUUUGUCAACGAGUGUAAGCCAAUCAGAAGCCUGCGUUUCUAUACGAACGCCACUACCAAGAAAACCUAUAGUUCCGUGCAGGCCCUCUAUUCUUCGCGCCGCCCGCAACCCAGGGCCUGUUCGCAGGCUAGGCCGCCAUCUAUUCAAAUUGGGGUAAUCGCUGGAAUAUUCUUGGCUUCAAUUUUACUAAAAGAGAUGCGCUAUAUCUAGUGUAUAUAAGAUGUCUAUGGUACAUAGCAAGUAACCGUUAAUUCGUUUCUUCUAAUGAACAAAGAGAGAUGAGAAAUAACAUAUUCAGAGAAAAAUUCAUCGAUUCAUACGUUUAUUAUCAAUAUCAUGAAUAGUUUACAUAUGCUGGAAGAUAUUAAUUCCUAGACAUUUGUCUCUUUCUCUUCACGCAGCCUGCCGUUGUAAAUCUGCACGGGCGUUGUGUACCAUCAUAAGUUUUCUUCCAUUCUUUCAUCAGAUUCUCCUUUCCUUUUUCUCUUGUAAAGACUUCAUCGUUGAAAUCCACACCAUUCUUCUCUUCCUCACGGAGCCAUAUCCAUUUCGGCUUCGCCAAGCACAGGGUCAUGGUAGAUAACAUAAGCAAGACGACCAAGAAAUUCUUCAUGACUUUUGCAGGAGUUCAGUUUCUCGAACACGUCUCACGCGCUUCUUCAACUCUUCAACACCAACUUUGUAUUUAGCAGAAUGUUAAUUUUACUGUUCACUUUUGAGCAGAAUGAAAUGUUGAGUUUUCAGCCUGGCUUUUAUAGAGCAGCAUAUUUGCCUUGCAAAGACCUGCAGAUGUUCACAGCUUUGACACAUUAAGGAAUCCGUUUGUUUUACUGACGCCAUGCGUGCCGAAAGUGCUGUUCAAAAUUAAUGAACUAGUAGAGUAGCUACGGAUCACAUUUAAAACAAAAUUGUUAUAGGCGCGCAUUAAUUGUUUCGUGUCUUAACAACUUACAGUGAGACUACAAAAUUUCAUGUGGACUUUUUAUCAAGAUAUUUCAUAAAAGUGUUCUAUCGGUAUAGAAUCAUU